rnacentral:rRNA from 1 species
UACGAAGGGGGCUAGCGUUGCUCGGAAUCACUGGGCGUAAAGCGCACGUAGGCGGCUUUCUAAGUCAGGGGUGAAAUCCUGGAGCUCAACUCCAGAACUGCCUUUGAUACUGGAGUGCUUGAGUCCGGGAGAGGUGAGUGGAACUCCGAGUGUAGAGGUGAAAUUCGUAGAUAUUCGGAAGAACACCAGUGGCGAAGGCGGCUCACUGGCCCGGUACUGACGCUGAGGUGCGAAAGCGUGGGGAGCAAACAGG